rnacentral:tRNA from 1 species
UGGCACAACGGUUAAAGCAUUCAGCUUCUAACUGAAAGAUUGGUAGUUCAAAUCCACC